GUUGGGAAAUCUUCCUCCAUCUUCCUUGUAUUCAAAGAAAGCUGCAGAGGCAACAAGCAAAUGACGACACAUCCAGAAAUUCUUCCAAACUACUACAGAGCCGAUGAUGUGAUGAAUCAAAUCUACUUUCUGCAGAACGGAGAGAAAAGCUGGACAUGGUGCCUAAAGAUAUUAUCUUUACGCACGCAAUGAUGACCCAAAUGAUAAAACAUGAGUUGGACUAUCAUUUGUAAUUUUGGGACAUAAAGGCAGAAAAAACAUCCAUCCCCAGAUAUAUCCACUAACAGAGAGACACAGAUAAAUAAACAGGCAUUGAUAAUUAAAGGUGGCUCUCUAAAAAAAAAUUGAUAUUAUUUUGAUACCUAUAUGGAAUGAAAUUUGUAUCUAAAUGUUGAUGGUAACUGCAGAACUGAAAUUAUUCAAUGUUGACUGAUUAACAGCUGUUUCGAAAGGUUUGACUGCUGACAGACAAACUUCUACUUUUACUUCUGAAGGAAGCGAAAGUAGCAGAAGCAGAGAAUUAUAAAACCAAAACAGGGAGGGAUGACUUACAGCACGAAGAAAGAAAUAAAGUAUCUGUAUGCAUUUCUGUGUAUGUUCUGUCCCAUACAAGCCAAGACUUGUAUCUGGGUCAUUUGGCAGAUGUCCAGAAUUCUCAUUUGUGUUGUUCAAACACAAACUGCAUUAGACCAGAUCAAUAUACUCACCCA